CCCACUUUACUUCAAGUGAAGUCACUGGGUUGUCCCCAUGAAAUAUCUCCACAAUGGGUGUGCUAGACCUUUACUCUCUGUGGCACCACCAAGACCCCCUCACCCUGCCAGAGCCCUCUGAAGUGUACUCAGAAUGGAGGGGCUGGAAGUGGGGCCAGUGGUCCUGGUAGUCAGCCUCCCCUUCUGACACAAGAAUUAUCGUGGAACAGCUUGUGUGACCGAUCAACUGGUCUCUCCAUCUUUAAGCCAUUGUCUUGUUGACUCUGUUACUGCAGAGUUUGGGGAGGUCUCAUGGCUUCUCGCAUCCUAUUUCCUGAGCUUCCCUGAAGCCAACUUCUGGCCACUGGUAUGUGAUGCGAGCACAGUGCCUCCUCCUGCUCCUCCAGGAAGCUUCUGCUGAUUGAACGCAGGCCAGAUGGCGAGAUCCGGAGCAACCUUCUUAGAUCAAGGGAAGAAAGGGGCACAAGAGGGGAGUAGGUAACAAGAUAAAAGGAGCUCCCUCCCUGAUGACUACAGAGCCAUCGUGGCAGCCCUGGGCCUCCAUUUCAGACGUUCAUCUUGCCUAAGCCACCACCAUCAGGGUCUCAGUCAGUCAUCAUUCUCAUUUACUCGGGUGGCUGGGUGAGGGCGGAAUACUACCUUCCAGCUGUCUGAGAUUAAGCCUAAGCCACCACCAUCAGGGUCUCAGUCAGUCAUCAUUCUCAUUUACUCGGGUGGCUGGGCGAGGGCGGAAUACUACCUUCCAGCUGUCUGAGAUUAAGCAGAACAGCAGCUAAAGCAGUAACAGCAGGUCUCCUUCAGCAGCUUGCCACAGGGAAGAGGGUCCCGCGUGAACCGAACUCAACUUCCACCUGCGCAGAGGUAGCUACCAUUUGCGUAGAGGUAGCUGGGUCUUUAAGGUUAGAGGGAAGGCGCAGGGAGGGAGAGACGGCGGGUGGGGGUUGAACAAAGUGGAGAUUCACAAAAGCAGACUAGGGCGGGCGACGUGAUCAGAUGACCUGUGCGGGCGGCAGCCUCCUGCCCUCCUCCCCUUCGUGCGCCGGCUGGAGCGAAGAGUUCUUUUGACAGCCGUGAGCUUCCCCGCCAGGAACUUACUGGGGCUGCAUCACCCUAGAAACGUGGCUUUGGGCUGUGGAAACGCUGCCUCUGUGGAAGUCUCUCCUCGCGGGGGUGGACGGGUCGCUGCGCGCCCAGCGUUCUUCUGCGGUUCUCACAGCCCGCCGCCGCCGCCGCCUCGGGGACCUUUGCGGGGAGGCCUCAGGGCACCUUCCUCCUCUCUCUCAGGCACGUCCUCGACCUCAGUUGCCACGUGCACAUGCUGGUGCCUUCCAGGUCGGUCUUUCUCCACCAGACUCCACCUGGAACUUUCUUCCUUUUCGUCCUGUGCUGGCCUAACCCCUGCUCGGCCUCGGCCCUCAGCUGCCGGCUCUAACAAAGCCUCUGUCUUUCCCAGACCCCUGUGACCAGGUCAGGCUCUGCUCCCUGCGUUCCUCUCUC
rnacentral:lncRNA from 1 species